rnacentral:rRNA from 1 species
GCAAGUCGAACGAGGAAGGAUUACAGCUUGCUUUAAUUGUCAGCUAAGUGGCGCACGGGUGAGUAAUAUAUAGGUAACGUGCCUUCAAGAAGGGGAUAACAAUUGGAAACGAUUGCUAAUACCCUAUAUGCCUUUAAGUCUUAAGACUGCAAGGGAAAUAUUUAUAGCUUGAAGAUCGGCCUGUACAGUAUCAGGUAGUUGGUGAGGUAAUGGCUCACCAAGACAAUGACGCGUAGCUGGUUUGAGAGGAUGAUC